UGUCUAAGUACAAGCCGUGUUUACACGGCGAGACCGCGGACGGCUCAUUAAAUCAGUCGUGGUCCAUAUGGGCUAGAGUUAAACCUACUUGGAUAACUGUGGUAAUUCCAGAGCUAAUACAUGCUACUCUUAUCCUGAGGUAGCGCGGCUUUCGGGUCGUAGCGCUGACGGAUGCUUUUAUUAGACCAAACCGCUGGGUGCUUGCGCUUUCCUUCGCGGGAUUGUGCUCGCUCUGACCCGUUUAAUGGUGACUCUGGAUAACCUUUUUGACAAGCGCACGUACUCUUUUAGGGACGGCGCUGCCACUUUCGAGUGUCUGCCUUAUCAGCUAUCAACCGUUCGUUAUGCGCGCACGAUGGCUUUGACGGGUAACGGGGAAUCAGAGUUCGAUUCCGGAGAGGCAGCCUGAGAGACGGCUACCACGUCCAAGGACGGCAGCAGGCACGCAAAUUACCCAAUCCCAGCAUCUGGGGGAGGUAGUGACGAAAUAUAACAAUGCGGGCGCCCUUUUUGGGGCCCCGCAAUUGGAAUGGCCACUUUCUAAACAACCUGUCGAGAACCUACUGAAGGGCAAGUCUGGUGCCAGCAGCCGCGGUAAUUCCAGCUUCAGUAGCAUCUAUUAAAGUUGCUGCGGUUAAAAGGCUCGCAGUUGAAUGUCAGUAUCGGGCGCAGGUCAGGUGGACGCUGGGACGUGAACACUAAAGGCGGCUCAGUGUGCGGCUGUGCGUCUCUGU
rnacentral:rRNA from 1 species